AGUCUAUUGAACCUUCAAUAAUAGAUAUCUCCUGCCCAGUGAAAUUUUAACGGCCGCGGUACCCUGACCGUGCAAAGGUAGCAUAAUCAUUUGCCUCUUAAUUAGAGGCUAGUAUGAAUGGAAAAACGAGAGUUUAGCUGUCUCUAUAAUAAAAAUAAAACCUAACCCUUAGGUGAAAAGGCCUAAAUAUAUUUAAAAGACAAGAAGACCCCGUCGAGCUUCAUCCAUCCACAAACUUUAACCACUCAACCCUUGCCCAAGGAUUUUGUUGGGGCGACAAGGGAACAAAAUUAACUUCCCACACACCUCCGAUUAUCAAUCAUCUCAAAGAACCACACCCAGUGAUCACAAAAAAUAGCUACCGCAGGGAUAACAGACUAAUUUUCCUUAAGAGUUCAAAUCCACAGGAAAGAUUGGCACCUCGAUGUUGGCUUAGGGCACCUAUCAAAUGAAGAAGUUUGAAUAGGGGGUUUGUUCAACCCUUAAAUC
rnacentral:rRNA from 1 species